CUCUUGCUGUGGCUGGGCUGUAUACAGGUCUGGUGCUCAGCACACAGCCCCCCCACCCCAGCACACAGCCCGCCCCCCAUUUCCUCUUUCCUGAAGGGGAAAGAGGCUCAGAGAAGCCAGGUAAUUGGCCCAAGGUCACACAUAAAGUAAGCGGUUGGGGGGGGGGGAUUUGAAUGAUUUUACCACUCAAAACACUUGCCCCCAAGGUAUUUGUACUCAGCCCUGGAGGGCAGCAGGGGCAGAAAGAACCAAAUACAGUUUGGUGAUCAAUGUCCCAAUGGCUGUAAGAACAAAGUGGAGCAGGAGCCCGAGACCAGUCAGCGAGUAUAACCUGAUGCUCUCAAAUGAGGCUUAUUUUGCCUCUUAGGGGACAUCUUUCUUGUUUGUCACAACUGCAGAGGGGGUGCCACUGGCAUCUAGCAGACAGAGCCUAGGGUGCCUCUACAGUGUACAGGGCAGCCCUACCACCACCACCCAAAAAUGAAUCAUCCAUCCCCAAAUGUCAGUAACGUGAGGCUGAGGAACCCUGAUGCAUCUUAGGCUGGACCUUAAAGGGGGAGGAGGGAUCCACCAGGCAGAGAGACCCUCGGGGCCUGGAGAACACUGGUUGGUUGGAGUGGGUGGGGUGGCAGUUCAGAGGCCUACUUUCCCAGGUGUCUUAGUCUGUUUUCUGUUACUAUAAUGAGAUACCACAGACCAGGCAAUUAUAGAGAACAGAGGUUUCCUGAGCUCACGGUUCAGGAAGCUGGGAAGUCUAAGAUCCUGACCAUGUGGUGAGAGCCUUCUUGCUACAUCAUAACCGGUGAGAGGUCAUCAUAGUUGGUAAGGGCCAGAACUAUAGGCCACUGAUGCCAUCAUGGGAACCCCACCCUCAUGACCUCAUCUAAUUCUAAUUACCUUCCAAAGGCCCUAAUCCAAAUACCAUUAACAUGACUUUUAGGAUUGAACUUGCAACCCUUGAAUAUUUGGGGGCACAUUCAAACCAAAGCACCAGGCUGUGGAGAGCUUGGGCACCUGGAAGGCAGCUGGAGUCAUUUGAGGGUUGUGUGUAUGCCUUUUAAAGAUUUUUAAAUUUUGAGUUUUUAAAAUUGGCUCAUUUUAUUUUUUUGAGACAUGGUCUUGCUAAUUUGCUGAGGAUAGCCUCAAACUUGUGAUCCUCCCACCUCAGCCUCCUGAGUUGCCAGGAUUACAGGUGUGCAUGACCACUCCUAGUUCCUUUUUUAAUUCUUGAGACAGGGUCUCAGUUGCUGAGGCUGGCCUGGAACUUGGAAUUCUGGAAUUAAGGUGUGUUCCACCACACCUGGCCAAAGAGCACAAAUCUCAGUCUCUCUCACUCCACCCCACUCCCCAGCUGCCCAGUUCUCUCAAGAACUCACCAGGCUAGUCUGUUUCUUGAAUUUUUUUUCCUAGCACGCGGUUUAAAUCCAGAACCUUGCACAUGCUAGGCUCUCCCACUGAACUACAUUCCCAUUCCUUUUUAUUUUAUGCUGAGACAGGCACUCACUAAAUUGUCCAAGUUGGUCUCAAACUUGGUGAUUUUCCUGCCUCAUCCAUCUGAGUAGCUGGGAUUAUAGGUGUGCACUACUAUGCGCAGCUUUUGGAUGUUCUUGAGCUCAUCUGUACAUACACAAUUGUGUGUGACUGUGUGUGCGCAUGUGUGUAUUAAAGUUGU
rnacentral:lncRNA from 1 species